rnacentral:siRNA from 1 species
AUGCAAUAUGUGCCCUACCUUCUA